AUAAAAAUCAGCUAAGACAAGAAAAUGAAGAGAACCUGAUUGAUUCAUCUUUUUCAUCGAAGCUCUAGGCGUGGAAUCAACUCAAAAUUCAUGUGGAUCUUGCCUCAAGGAGAAGUUCUUGAGAUAAAAAAAUAUAGAGAUCUAGUAAAUUUCAGAUAAACGUCUUUAAAUCUCAAAUGUUAUGAAAUCACUCUCCAUGAAGACUUCUUCGAUUCCAUAUCGUUAAAUCUAGAACAGUAAUUUGAGCAAAGUGAGUCUCGAAGAGCAGAUACCAAAACAACAAGAUCCAGAUCUAGCGGGUACGUCCUCAACUUCAUCGAGAUUAUUUUGAUCUGUAGAUUAAAACCUUUUUAGACUUCUUUUUGCCUAUGUAAUCUAUUGUUGAUUUUUCUUUUAUUCUAUUUUUCCUCCCAGAUAUAAUUGUAAUUUUGUAUCCACUUGAGAUUGUGUUGAAUCAUGUGUUUGAUUGUCUCUUUGUGUAGUGAAAUACUUAUUUUGGCACUUUCCUAUUCUUA